ACCUUACUGACGAGUUCGAAAUGGGACGAAACGCGCGUCAAAAUGGAU
rnacentral:hammerhead_ribozyme from 1 species